rnacentral:misc_RNA from 1 species
UACGUAGGCAGCAAGCGUUGUUCGGAAUUACUGGGCGUAAAGCGCGGGCAGGCGGCCUGUUACGUCUCCUGUGAAACUCCGGGGCUCAACUCCGGACAUGCAGAAGAUACUGGCAGGCUAGAGAACGGUAGAGGCGAGUGGUAUUCCUGGUGUAGCGGUGGAAUGCGUAGAUAUCAGGAAGAACACCUGUGGCGAAGGCGACUCGCUGGGCCGUUUCUGACGCUCAUCCGCGAAAGCGUGGGGAGCAAACAGG